rnacentral:lncRNA from 1 species
UCUGCUCCUUGCCAGACUACUUGGAUUAUGAGACACUUGGGAUAUUGCUGUUCUUGUUUCAGAAGGCUGUAGACCCACCAUUUGAUCCUUUACUUGGUUGCUGAUGAGAACUAAGUAUUCACACUUUGGUUCUUCUAUUUUCAGUUUCCUUCCUAUAUUGAACCUCAUUCAGAACCUGCUGAUGUGAACGGGAGUCUCUCCAUUGAUUACAAUGGGUUUUGGAUGAGCGCUUGAGUGCCUCCUGUCUCGCUCUGUAGGGAGGAUAGAAUGCUGUUGCAGACGACUCUGAAUCCUGCAGCACCUGGCUUUGAAGUGAUGCAGUGUUGGCAAGUUUUGUACAAUGUUGCUGGAUAUGUGGCCACCACUAGAGAUACUACAAACUGAUGCUGAAGAACUACAACAUUGUGUUGGUUUGUUUUCUUUUCCUUUUUCUCCUCUCUAAAUUGGAAGGUAAACUUGCAGAGACAAGUCUUUAAGUGCCAGGAUACAGCACUUUACAGUAGAAUCAUCUCUGUUAUAAGAAGUCAGUUUUAUUUAAUCCUUUUCCAUUUUCCUUUGUGGAAUACAUUUCAUAAUUGAAUCUUCUCAAGCUGCAGUCUUAAAAUAUAUGUUUACUCUGAUAUCCUGGCUGUUCCUCUGUCUUGGAUAAGCAAGGAGUUUCCUUUGCCAGUGUGACAAUUAGGUUAUAAAGAUGGAUUUUUCUAUCAAUUUACACAGCAACUCAACCAAGUUAGGGGCAUGGAACAGAACUUAUCAUUAUUGAAAGUAGUUCUGGACCUAAGGAGAAGCAGCCACUGUACAGAACAAAUUCAUUAAAAGGCAUGUAUGGUUUUUAAUCAUGCAACAGCUGAAGAAAUACAAGGUCUA